AGGAGGAAGAGGAAAAGAAAGAAAAAAAAACUAUGGAAAGACAAGAGAAAAAGAAACACAAUAAGGAAUGGAAAAAGAUGAAGAACAAGAAGGAACGAGGAAAGAAGCAGAAAGGAAGCCAGCAGGAAGACACCAGGUUUCCAGUCCAGCACGUCCUCUGCUCGUGGCAGGGUCGAGGCACCUCCAGCUGGUCUCCGUGGAGGCACUAAGCCGAGGUGAGUGUGUGCCGCGGGCGACGUACAGGAGAGACUGCGGAUGAUGCCACGAUGUCUUGUACCUCCUGCGUGUGUGCGGGGACUGGGAGGAGGAUGUACUGUACCGGGUUACGUGUGGUGAGCCAGAGCAGCCUUGGGUGAGUCUCGGCAGUGGUACCUGAGGCAGUGAGUAGGUGAGAAGGUGACGCAGCACUGCCACAGAUGAUGUGCAGGAGGUAGGAUGCCGCUGUGCUAUGUAUGGUGACUCUUCAUCCUGUAUGUGGUGACAGUCUGCCUUGUAUAUUGUGACUCUUCCUUGUAUACGGUAACUCUGUUCAGUAAAAGAGGAUAAGACAAAUUUAUGGAUGGAAAAAAUUGGUGGAAAUAGAUAAGUAUGACUGCCAUUUGUAGGCCUGAUGGCUUCCUGCAGCUUCCUUUAUUUUCUUAUGUUCUUAUGUUCUUAUAUGGUGAUUAUACUUGUAUAUAGUGACUGCCCUGUACGUAUAUAAUGACUCUACUCUGUAUAUGGUAGCUCUCUGCCCUGUAUAUAUCGCUGGCCUGGAUGAGAGGCCACGAGGGAACAAGGGAGCAACUGAAAAAGGGAGGCAGAAAGAGAGUCUGAUAAAAAGCAUUACACUAACACACAUAACUGUAACUCUUGGCGGCAAUCAGACAAGCUUGUUUAUCGAACGCUCUGCCCGAUUAUCGUCCACGUCCCGGGGAAAUAGAUGACCUUAUUUCUGGCCCAGCAGUGUUUCGGACAGACGACGAAGAGUAAAAAAAUGUAAAAAAAAAAAAAAAAAAAAAAAAGUUUGUUGACUGGAGUAAUUUUUCUAUUAAUUUGGGGUGUGUUCGAAUUUUGACUCAAGAUAGACGUGCUAAUAUUUCUGACGCAGCAGUGUUUCGGAUCAACGGCAAAGAGUUAAAUGUGUAAAA